UCUUCCAAUUCUCCGUGUUGUUGUCGAUUGAUUAAUGCAAAUCUCCGUUUCUGAUCCACUUUCAAUCAUUCAAUCCUUUCUUAACUCUAUCUUGAUGAGUGAGCUAUCUUUCCACCUCCCUUUGUUUCUCUUCUUAUAUAUUGAGAAACUCUUUUGUAGAAGAUUACAUUGAUUCUUCAAAUCUCAGGCGCGCAUCUCAUGCUUCCCUAUAUUUCAACUACAUCCCACCAAGCCAUUGGAUUCGGGAUUACGCUUCCGUCUGAUUCACAGGCCUCCAGCCGCUUCAUCUCUCUCCUAUUACAUGUAAUCCUAACCUUCACCGUCUUGCCAAAUCUCAGGUGUAACUGUUGUCUUCCAUCACCAUGCUUCAUCAAAAUAUCUACAUGAUUAUAACAGAGGAAAACCAUUCAGCCUCAUCAGUAUCCAUCCUCUCUCACUAUAUACUAACAGAAAAGGGGAAGCAAGACGUCAGCUCUCGAUCAUUACUACGCUCGUUGGAAAGGAGUAUUAUGAUAAUUCCGAACAAAGUUAUGAAGGCAGUUAUAGAAGACUCAAGUACGUUGGUUACGAAACAGAAAGUUUCCUCAUACUGACUUUUUUGAGAGAAGUAUUAAACGUUUUGCCGAUACCCUGGGACCCUUUGAUUCCAUUUAUGGAGGGUUUUAUAUGGGGUAUUCUCUUCUGCAACGAGGACUAAAGGGAUUAAGAUCUCAAUUUUAUCUUUCGAGAUCGCUAACACCAUUGUUAAAGGCUCAAAUCUUAUGCAUUCUCUGUCAAUGAUAGCAUCACACAUUUGAGAGAGGCUGUGUUACCUUCAGAAGGUGUACAAAACCAAUAUCAAAGGAUAUGGAUGAAUUCUGGAGGAUAGUGCUACAGACUAAAGGUAGCUCCUGCUUUGAGAAUAUUUCUCUAUUGUUUAUGUAUACUCUUCACACUGUUUUUCUAUUUGUGGCUUGGAGAUAAUCAAAGCUAUGUCCUGAAUAGAUA